rnacentral:rRNA from 1 species
AUGAACGCUGGCGGCGUGCCUAAUACAUGCAAGUCGAGCGAACGGACGAGAAGCUUGCUUCUCUGAUGUUAGCGGCGGACGGGUGAGUAACACGUGGAUAACCUACCUAUAAGACUGGGAUAACUUCGGGAAACCGGAGCUAAUACCGGAUAAUAUUUUGAACCGCAUGGUUCAAAAGUGAAAGACGGUCUUGCUGUCACUUAUAGAUGGAUCCGCGCUGCAUUAGCUAGUUGGUAAGGUAACGGCUUACCAAGGCAACGAUGCAUAGCCGACCUGAGAGGGUGAUCGGCCACACUGGAACUGAGACACGGUCCAGACUCCUACGGGAGGCAGCAGUAGGGAAUCUUCCGCAAUGGGCGAAAGCCUGACGGAGCAACGCCGCGUGAGUGAUGAAGGUCUUCGGAUCGUAAAACUCUGUUUUUAGGGAAGAACAUAUGUGUAAGUAACUGUGCACAUCUUGACGGUACCUAAUCAGAAAGCCACGGCUAACUACGUG